rfam:Schistosoma haematobium scaffold3224_2, whole genome shotgun sequence.
AUCCUGCCGACAAGUCCCAAACAGGACGAAACGCGCAUCUUGGAU